UUAUUCUCAUGUUUUAAAUGACUAAAUCUUUUUACUGUGACGUAUGUAGCUCAACAAACGAGAUCUUCCCCUCCAAGGGCUUGAAAAUAUGAAAUAGUAAAUAAAUAAAUCCCACAUAAAUGCAGGUAUUUAUUAUGGCUCACAUGAAUAAAUACAGACAAUUAUAUUUUCUUGAUUAUAGUAGCUUUUGUAGAAUCAAAAGUUUUUGUGAUGAAUGAGGUUUUGCUUAUCAUGUUUUACAGGUAAAAAAUGUCAAAAGUUAUAAACUAUCUUUAGGCUACCAGAGAUGUCUAUAAUGAUACAUUAUGUAGAGAAAAACAUUAGUACAGCUUACAGAAUAUGUAUAAAAACUGAUUUAGAAGUAAAUGGAUAGUUUUCUGAAAGUUCCCGACUACAGUUUAACACCACCCACCCAGAUCAGCCCCCAAGUGUCUAUGUAAUGCUGGUAUGGUGUGUGAGUUUGACUUGGCCUUUAUCCGGGUGGGUUUGGGUUUGGGUGGAUAAAGGCCAAGUCAGAAUUCUCUGAGCAGCUGGAAAAAGCUGCUAAUAAACAAAGACAUCAAAAAGUGUGGGCUUUAGGUGUAGCCCCCGCUUUCUGAUGCACUAAUUAGACUUAGUAACCGACACCCCAUACCAGCAUUACAUAGACACUUGGGGGCUGAGCUGGGUGGGUGGUGUUAUAAGCACGUGUUUUGUUAGAUAUAUUUUUUCAGACACCAUCUUCAUGAACUGCUGAGCCAAACUUGAUCCAUCAGUGCUGGACUGCACAGAUAACUACAUGCCACAAGGAGACUGCUGUGUUAUGAACUGCCAUACCAGUGUGUCUUCAAUGGAGAAGAUGACACACCCAUCACCUGACCUCCUGCCUGAUCUGGAGACCAUCAUCAUGCUGCCACACUACACACCUCUGAGACCAUCAAUGAUGACUCAUACUGAGGAAACUGUAUUUCCUGUCAGAGAUGCUCAGUGAUCCUCAGAGCAGAGAGCGGUAUUGCUGUCUUCUGAGUUCUUCAGUGUUCCAACUGAGACAUUCAAACCUCCCUGCAGAGCUCAUGUCUUUCCUCACCAUCAUGCGAGUGUGAGAUUGCUCUGGAUUCUGGUUAUGUGGCCUGCAGCACCUAUAAGAAUAAGCUCGUCCAGUGUGCCUGCAUUCCAGCUUCACAGAAAAGAACAUCAGACACCAGCGAGGG